rnacentral:misc_RNA from 1 species
GAUGAAGAACGUAGUGAAAUGCGAUAAUUAAUGUGAAUUGCAGAAUUCAGAGAAUCAUCGAGUCUUUGAACGCACAUUGCGCCCCCUGGUAUUCCGGGGGGCAUGCCUGUCCGAGCGUCAUUGCUGCCCUCAAGCACGGCUUGUGUGUUGGGCUUCCGUCCCUGGCAACGGGGACGGGCCCAAAAGGCAGUGGCGGCACCAUGUCUGGUCCUCGAGCGUAUGGGGCUUUGUCACCCGCUCCCGUAGGUCCAGCUGGCAGCUAGCCUCGCAACCAAUCUUUUUAACCAGGUUGACCUCGGAUCAGGUAGGGAUACCCGCUGAACUUAAGCAUAUCAAUAAGCGGAGGA